ensembl:misc_RNA 7SK 7SK RNA
GGAUAUUAGGGCAAUCUGGCUGCGACAUCUGUUACUCCACUGAUCACCAGGUUCGAUUUGGUGGAUCUGCCUGGUGAGGUGGGAGUCCCCUUUUUCCCUCACCAUUCAUUGCAUGUCCCUCCUGUAGCUGUGUGCUAGCUUGAAGAGGGCCACCUUUCCAGAUAGAGGAGGACUGUUCUGUCAAGGGCAUAGGAGUGCUGCUCUCCUCUGCUGGAGCCUCCGAACAAGCUCUCAAUAUGAUAAUUUUACUAUAUUCUAAUAUCUUAAGCAUUACAUGAUAUUAAAGUAAUACAGAAUAAUAUUAAAGUCUAAGAUUUGAAUAAAAUUA